rnacentral:rRNA from 1 species
GACGUAGGGCGCGAGCGUUGUCCGGAUUUAUUGGGCGUAAAGAGCUCGUAGGCGGCUUGUCGCGUCGGCUGUGAAAUCCCGUGGCUCAACUGCGGGUCUGCAGCCGAUACGGGCAGGCUAGAGUUCGGUAGGGGAGACUGGAAUUCCUGGUGUAGAGGUGAAAUUCGUAGAUAUCGGGAGGAACACCGGUGGCGAAGGCGGCGACCUGGGUAGAUACUGACGCUGAGGCGCGAAAGCGUGGGGAGCAAACAGG